UGGGAUUGAAUCUGCUCUACUUUGCAAUUUGAAUGUGGUUGUUCUUUGGUGUUAACUUCUUAGAAUCACUCAUACCUCUUCAUUGCUCAUUGGAUUGUUUUUCACUUGUAAAGGAUGACAGCUGAAGCACCAGGGAAGAGGACAGAAGCAACAGUUUGAAGAUGCUCAAAAGCUCUAUAGAAUGAAACAAAGAAAAAUAUUUAUCUAAUGUCAGGACAAGGAGGACCCAGGAAGAGGAAUUCAUAGACAGUAAAGUGAAAAAUAUUUUCAUAUUUACCAAAAACAAUAGGAAACAUGAAUAUUUCACUAGUUUGGCCAAAUCCUAAGGUGACCUGAGGGCGCAAUUUAAAAUGGAUCGAUUUACUGAUUUGUCACAAAACCACAUAAAAACAGAUUUUCACGGUAUUGAAAUAGUUUUGUGCUGUAUAUAUGCUGGCAACAUUUAUGAUAUGAGGCAGUGACACUUUAUUUUAAGGUACUGCAUAUUGAGGCCGGGCACUUUUCUCUGUUUACUGGGCUGAUCGUGUUUCUCAUCCCUCACCCCAGCAACUUUAACCUCUCUGAGGACUGAAACUGAUUUUGAAUUCGGCUAAAUGAGCAAGGAAGGAUCACUAAAUGUUUAUUCCCCGUGACAUUCCCGGCCUUUAUUCUAACCUAGUUCCAUCCAGAAAAAGCAUAUCAAGUGUGGUGAAAAAGGUAAAUAUCAGAGCUCGUGUGUCCACCAUUAGGAGAAGAUUGAAUAGGAAUGGCUUUCAUGGAAGGAUGGCCAGGAGGAAACCCAUGUUCUUUGGGAAGAGCAUUGCUGCAUCGGUGAAGUGUGCAAAACAUUGCUUGAAUGAGGAACAAGACUUCUGGAACAAUGUGCUCCGGACAGGCACUAACAGAUAUUGCAGUUACGUACACAGUGAAAAAAUAACCAUGUUGGCACAAAGAACGGACAAAGAGAAUUGGAAAAUCAGUA